GACAACGCUGGCGGCGUGGAUUAGGCAUGCAAGUCGAACGGUAGGAUACCUUCGGGUAUCUGAGAGUGGCGAACGGGUGAGUAACACGUAGGUGAUCUACCCUCAAGAUUGGGACAACCCAGGGAAACUUGGGCUAAUACCGGAUGAAAGCAGCAGUGAUGUUGUUUGAAAGGUGGCGUAAGCUGCCGUUUGGGGAUGAGCCUGCGCUCUAUUAGUUAGUUGGCGGGGUAAAGGCCCACCAAGGCGAUGAUAGAUAGGCGGCCUUAACGGGUGGUCGCCCACACUGGGAUUGAGAUACGGCCCAGACUCCUACGGGAGGCAGCAGUCGAGAAUAGUCUACAAUGGUCGAAAGACUGAUAGUGCGACGCCGCGUGAACGAAGAAGCCCUUCGGGGUGUAAAGUUCUUUUAUAUGUGAGCAGUGAUUCCUAUGUGAAUAGCAUGGGAGUAGAGAUAUUAGCAUAUGAAUAAGCAACGGCUAACUCCGUG
rnacentral:rRNA from 1 species